GAUGAACGCUAGCGGGAGGCCUAACACAUGCAAGCCGAGCGGUAUGGGUAGCUUGCUCCCCAGAGAGCGGCGUACGGGUGCGUAACACGUGUGCAACCUGCCCCUAUCCGGGGGAUAGCCCUCCGAAAGGAGGAUUAAUACCCCAUAAUAUAUCUGGUGGCAUCACUAGAUAUUGAAAACCCCGGUGGAUAGGGAUGGGCACGCGCAAGAUUAGAUAGUUGGCGGGGUAACGGCCCACCAAGUCGAUGAUCUUUAGGGGUCCUGAGAGGGAGAUCCCCCACACUGGUACUGAGACACGGACCAGACUCCUACGGGAGGCAGCAGUGAGGAAUAGUGGACAAUGGGUGGAAGCCUGAUCCAGCCAUCCCGCGUGAGGGACGACGGCCCUAUGGGUUGUAAACCUCUUUUGUACGGGGAUAAACCUAUCUACGUGUAGAUAGCUGAAGGUACCGUACGAAUAAGCACCGGCUAACUCCGUG
rnacentral:rRNA from 1 species